GAUCAUGGCUCAGGAUGAACGCUAGCUACAGGCUUAACACAUGCAAGUCGAGGGGCAGCGGGAUUGAAGCUUGCUUCAAUUGCCGGCGACCGGCGCACGGGUGAGUAACGCGUAUCCAACCUUCCGUACACUCAGGGAUAGCCUUUCGAAAGAAAGAUUAAUACCGGAUAGUAUCGAGAGAUUGCAUGAUUACCCGAUUAAAGAUUCAUCGGUAACGGAUGGGGAUGCGUUCCAUUAGG
rnacentral:rRNA from 1 species